rnacentral:rRNA from 1 species
GACGAACGCUGGCGGCGUGCCUAAUACAUGCAAGUUGAGCGCUGAAGGUUGGUACUUGUACCGACUGGAUGAGCAGCGAACGGGUGAGUAACGCGUGGGGAAUCUGCCUUUGAGCGGGGGACAACAUUUGGAAACGAAUGCUAAUACCGCAUAACAACUUUAAACACAAGUUUUAAGUUUGAAAGAUGCAAUUGCAUCACUCAAAGAUGAUCCCGCGUUGUAUUAGCUAGUUGGUGAGGUAAAGGCUCACCAAGGCGAUGAUACAUAGCCGACCUGAGAGGGUGAUCGGGCACAUUGGGACUGAGACACUGCCCAACCUCCUACGGGAGGCAGCAGUAGGGAAUCUUCGGCAAUGGACGAUAGUCCGACCGAGCAACGCCGCGUGAGUGAAGAAGGUUUUCGGAUCGUAAAACUCUGUUGGUAGAGAAGAACGUUGGUGAGAGUGGAAAGCUCAUCAAGUGACGGUAACUACCCAGAAAGGGACGGCUAACUACGUGCCAGCCGCCGCGGUAA